AACACACACACAAACCUUUCCUCAGAAACUAAAAAAGUCAGUAUUGAGCAACUCUGAAAUAAACACUCUUCUGUUUUGUUGUUAGAGUCUAGAAGGCCUACAGUCAAAACCGUCAGGCACAACUGCAAAACCAGCUUAAAACAGCCAAGUAAAAAGGAAUAGCAGGAAAACCCCUUCAGAUCAUUAGCACCUAAUGCACUGCACCUCAGCCCAGAACAGAUCAGAAAACACAGCCUAGGUGCAAAACUGAAGGAAGCAGAGAAGGGAGAAGCAGAACAAUGCGAGACAGUGGACGAAAGUGACAGAAACAUCAAAGCAUUUAACAUCUCAAAACUCCAUUAAUAACAGCUACAAAAAAUAUAACUACAUAUUAGUUCACCUUCACAUCUGAGACAGCUUUCCAGUACUCAUCCUGAGGAUACUCCUCAGAAUCCUCCCUUCUCCUUCACAAAUCUUUAACUGGACAAAGUGGAUCUAUAAAGUGGAUCAUCAAGGAAGGAUUGUCUAAUAAAGUGGUCAGUUAAUGCAGUGUUUUAUAAAACACUAGCAAUGUUGCUGAGCCUGAUACAUUAGUGCCAGCAUCUCUACCCCCCCUGUGUCAUGGCUGUCCUGAGAAUGGUCCAUCAUCAAAGGAAUAUCUAGGCAGCAGUGGUUCUGUGCUGGUCUUUCCCAUUGAUAGACCAUUUUGGUGGAUUUGAUACCACUGUGUAUAGCGACAAAUGGGCUACAGUCAGUAACUAUACAUCUACAAAGUAACCCAUGUGGUAAAUUUACUUGAUAAACUGGCAACUCUGUAGGUGUCUAUGGAUAGCACAAUAAAAAUGGACUUAAUUUCUUGGGUACAAAUAAUACAUUCUGACAAACAGCAUUCCAGUUCUCAAACGUCCAUCUGAGGGAAGCGGCUACAAACACAUUACCAUAUAACAUAACAAGAGGACACAAUUUAGCAAAGUCAUUACACACGUGGCAUAACACUAAGGGGUCUAAACACUGAGCAGAUGUUGCCUGGAGAUUUUUCUCAGAGCCGAAAGUCAUGCUGCCUUAAUGCCAAGACAAAUAACCCUAAGAAUGAGCUAAAGGUGUGGGCUGUGUAAGUUUCAUACCAGCUAGCUGUAAAUUAUUCAUAACUGCAAGGGUGGAACUGAUGCGAUGGUCCAACUAAAACACAGUUCCUGGGUGUUUGCACACCAGUGACCACACCAUCCAAACUCAAUGCAUUUCAAUCAGGACACAGACAGUGUUAGGUUAGGAAGUGUAUGGGUACACGGUGAAUUGCUGCUUCAUUACACAAGAGUUGUAACCACCUACAAUUUGGCGCAAGGUUCACUCUACUCAAUGCCCAGUUUUAGGUUAUGCCGUGUCAUUUAGUUAGAACUAGGAGAGUAACGAUACAUUUAUACAUUGUGACGUGGCAUGGCAAUGAAAAAAAGUGAUUUGUGCAUUGUGGAAAUGUGCGAUUCACAUUCAGCAGUCUAUUAAUUAUGCAUGUAAUGCAGUUGCACUUUUGAACACCUGAGGCACAACCGAUAGAGUUAAAAUAUGUAGAGAGCACGCUGGUCACAUGAUCGCAUUCUGUUUUGGACAGCUUGUGAAGUCAUCUGCACAUCUGAAUCCCGAUAGUGCCAGAUUGCAGUGACCAACACGCAUUACAUGUUAUACGGUUACAGACCACGUUGUAACAGUUUAAAAAAAGCUCUUCAGUAGCAUUUAAACAUCACCAAAGGUCACGGAAAUCAGGCAUUUUCAGCGACUUUGGAGCUCUAUUUGUGCUAUGGAGCUUAUUAUGUUAGAGUCGAUCAUUUUCAAAGUCCCCAGGCCGAGAAUUUUCACCAUUCACGAGAGAUUCACCAAAGUCCAGCACCCCAGGGUCACAAAACGCCUGGAGCCUAUCCCAGGGGACUCGGGGCAGAAUGCGGGGGACACUCUGGACAGGGUGCCAACCCAUCACAGGGCAAAAUCACACACUACGGACAAUUUAGAGAAGCCAGUCAGCCUACGAUGCAUGUCUCUGGACUGGGGGAAGAAACCGGAGUACCCAGAGGAAACCCCUGAGGCAUAGAGAGAACAAGCAAACUCCACAAACACAGGGCAGAGACGGGAUUUGAACCCCCAACCCUGGAGGUGCGAGGCAAGGGUGCAAACCACCAAGCCACCAUGGCCCCCAGUUUAAGGACAUUUUACACACAAGAGAAAAGAUGAACAGAAAUUCUAUUUUAAGAAGGCAGUGAUCAAAUAUUGGCCUAAAACACUGGAUUGGUAUCAAAUCAGAUUUGACAUUUUCAGGCCAGAUGAUAUUUAGAUUUUAGGCUGUAAACAGAUUUAAUGUUAACUCCCGGGACACAGAUGUUUGUGUGUGAACACUGGCCACAACAUAUCCAGUUAAAGUACGCCAUCAUGCAUCUGAGGUCACUUUGAAGUAUCACUGAAAACUAGAGCUCAGAUAUGGGAAUCCGUGCAUCACUAAGGGUUUUAUUUCAGUAAAAGAUUGCCCUUUAAUCAUAACUUAUACUGUGGGACUCCAUGCACUUUAGACACAGAUAAGAAAUGAAAGAUUCCUGCUCACAUAAGGACUUUAACACCUAGGAACUGUUUCAUAAUGUUUUCUCAGUUCAUUAAAAUGCUCAGACAUAAAACACACCUCAAACUUUCCUUUACAGAGGCAAUGUUGCAUCAGAGAGUAAUCCAGGUAUGAAUACAUGCAUGUUCAGCAUUCUCAGCAAAACACAGAUAAUAAAUACAAUAUUUUGAAUUAAAAAAAAAAAAAAAACAACCCUGACCAGUGUUCUGCCACUUCCUACUUUAAAAAAAAAAUCAUUUCCCAUUAAAACACCUUCAACAUUGUUGUGACAUUCAAUACAUUUCUGUAAAAGCAUAUAGUCACUGAAAAUUUUAGUAGGACAUGUCGAAACUUUGGUAUUAAACCUUGUGCAUGAUUAAUAAUCAUUAGUAAUAAUAAACAACAAUCAAUAAUAAUUAGCAAAUUAAUAAUCUAUAUUUCAUUUCAAAAGGCUUAGAAUUAUGUUAAAGGAUUAUGUUAAGAAUUGCUCAUAAAAUAUUAACUCAUUGAAUCAUUUUAAUAAAGUUAUAAUUAUGAAGUCCUGAAAAUAAAUCAUGUUUUUUUUUUUAACUAUCUCCUUCUCUUUUUUUUCCCUUUUCUAUGGCUGCAUUUUGAAGUUAAAAAGUAAUAUAAACCUAAUAAAAGUGAUAUGUUGUAAAGUAUAAAUCAUGAAGUUAUGAAGCUGUUGAUGACAUCAUAACACAUUUCCUGAAGAUUAUUUUAACUCUGUUACUCAAACAUAAGACUGUUUGGUAAGAGUGAGGUGUAAGAUAGAUCAAGUGUGUUUCAGAGUUCAACACCAACGCAAACAAACUGACACACAACUAUUAAGUUAGCAAACAUUAACAUUUGCAACAGAAACCCUGCAGAAAGGCGCUACACCUCACAAUAAACUGAUUUCAUUCCCAUUUCCGUUAACAGAACAACAAACAAACACAAACAAACACAAACAAACUGGCCACGUUGGAGCUACUCACGCCUCGGGAAUUACAACUUUUCUCUUGCAGGAAAACUACACAAAGACACAAAACACAUUUUAAUCACUCACACCGCUGUA